rnacentral:rRNA from 1 species
GAUGAACGCUGGCGGCGUGCCUAAUACAUGCAAGUCGAGCGAACGGACGAGAAGCUUGCUUCUCUGAUGUUAGCGGCGGACGGGUGAGUAACACGUGGAUAACCUACCUAUAAGACUGGGAUAACUUCGGGAAACCGGAGAUAAUACCGGAUAAUAUUUUGAACCGCAUGGUUCAAAAGUGAAAGACGGUCUUGCUGUCACUUAUAGAUGGAUCCGCGCUGCAUUAGCUAGUUGGUAAGGUAACGGCUUACCAAGGCAACGAUGCAUAGCCGACCUGAGAAGGUGAUCGGCCACACUGGAACUGAGGCACGGUCCAGACUCCUACGGGAGGCAGCAGUAGGGAAUCUUCCGCAAUGGGCGGAAGCCUGACGGAGCAACGCCGCGUGAGUUAUGAAGGUCUUCGGAUCGGAAAACUCUGUUAGUAGGGAAGAACAUAUGUGUAAGUAACUGUGCACAGCUUGACGGUACCUAAUCAGAAAGCCACGGCUAACUACGUG